rnacentral:lncRNA from 1 species
GAAGACCAACAUAGGUCAAACUGGGAGAUGUAUUAACGACCGUGCGCGGGAGCAUGAGUUUUCCUUGAAAAAUAAAAGUAAUGCGCAGUUACCGGUCCAUCGCGGGCGCUCAUGCAUGCAUC